AGAGUUUUUUCGCAUAUGCCAUA
rnacentral:siRNA from 1 species